rnacentral:rRNA from 1 species
AUGCAGGCCACGACCUACAUCAAGGAUCUAUACGAGAGAGUCGAAAGGCUGAGGCAGAUGAGAGAUGACAAAACCCAAAGCCGAAGGAUGGCCGGGCGCAGCUGCAGCAGCAACGUCCUAGAUACAGGACGGGCGGGGCCAUGGGGUCCUGGAGACGUCACGGUGCAGCUCAGCGGGGCGGCGCAUUUCGACGUGAGCUUCACGACGAGCUCCGCGGAGAGAGUCGAGAUGCACAGGGUGAUCCGCCUGAUCGAGCAGGAUGGACGCAUGGAGGUCGUCGAGGCGAGCUGGUGCUUUGUCGACGGUGGCAAGGUUUUCUACACGAUCAAGUGCAGGGCAGUGAGCUCUGAGGCUGUCUUGGAUGCGUCCAUGGCGGCGACAAGGCUCAGAAGGUUGCUGACGGACUCACUUGGUGGCCAUGGUGUCUAA